UACAGAGGUCUCAAGCGUUGUUCGGAUUCAUUGGGCGUAAAGGGUGCGUAGGCGGCGCGGUAAGUCGGGGUGUGAAAUCUUGGAGCUUAACUCCGAAACUGCAUUCGAUACUGCCGUGCUUGAGGACUGGAGAGGAGACUGGAAUUUACGGUGUAGCGGUGAAAUGCGUAGAUAUCGUAAGGAAGACCAGUGGCGAAGGCGGGUUGCUGGGCUGACACUGACGCUGAAACGCGAAAGCUAGGGGAGCGAACGGGG
rnacentral:rRNA from 1 species